AUUGAACGCUGUCGGCAGGCUUAACACAUGCAAGUCGAACGAUGAAACUCUAGCUUGCUAGAGAAGAUUGGUGGCGGACGGGUGAGUAACAUUUAGGAAUCUGCCUAGUAGUGGGGGAUAGCUCGGGGAAACUCGAAUUAAUACCGCAUACGACCUACGGGUGAAAGGGGGCGCAAGCUCUUGCUAUUAGAUGAGCCUAAAUCAGAUUAGCUAGUUGGUGGGGUAAAGGCCCACCAAGGCGACGAUCUGUAACUGGUCUGAGAGGAUGAUCAGUCACACCGGAACUGAGACACGGUCCGGACUCCUACGGGAGGCAGCAGUGGGGAAUAUUGGACAAUGGGGGCAACCCUGAUCCAGCCAUGCCGCGUGUGUGAAGAAGGCCUUUUGGUUGUAAAGCACUUUAAGCAGGGAGGAGAGGCUAAUGGUUAAUACCCAUUAGAUUAGACGUUACCUGCAGAAUAAGCACCGGCUAACUCUGUGCCAGCAGCCGCGGUAAUACAGAGGGUGCGAGCGUUAAUCGGAAUUACUGGGCGUAAAGCGAGUGUAGGUGGCUCAUUAAGUCACAUGUGAAAUCCCCGGGCUUAACCUGGGAACUGCAUGUGAUACUGGUGGUGCUAGAAUAUGUGAGAGGGAAGUAGAAUUCCAGGUGUAGCGGUGAAAUGCGUAGAGAUCUGGAGGAAUACCGAUGGCGAAGGCAGCUUCCUGGCAUAAUAUUGACACUGAGAUUCGAAAGCGUGGGUAGCAAACAGGAUUAGAUACCCUGGUAGUCCACGCCGUAAACGAUGUCUACUAGCCGUUGGGGUCCUUGAGACUUUAGUGGCGCAGUUAACGCGAUAAGUAGACCGCCUGGGGAGUACGGCCGCAAGGUUAAAACUCAAAUGAAUUGACGGGGGCCCGCACAAGCGGUGGAGCAUGUGGUUUAAUUCGAUGCAACGCGAAGAACCUUACCUGGUCUUGACAUAGUGAGAAUCUUUCAGAGAUGAGAGAGUGCCUUCGGGAAUUCACAUACAGGUGCUGCAUGGCUGUCGUCAGCUCGUGUCGUGAGAUGUUGGGUUAAGUCCCGCAACGAGCGCAACCCUUUUCCUUAUUUGCCAGCGGGUUAAGCCGGGAACUUUAAGGAUACUGCCAGUGACAAACUGGAGGAAGGCGGGGACGACGUCAAGUCAUCAUGGCCCUUACGACCAGGGCUACACACGUGCUACAAUGGUAGGUACAGAGGGUUGCUACACAGCGAUGUGAUGCUAAUCUCAAAAAGCCUAUCGUAGUCCGGAUUGGAGUCUGCAACUCGACUCCAUGAAGUCGGAAUCGCUAGUAAUCGCAGAUCAGAAUGCUGCGGUGAAUACGUUCCCGGGCCU
rnacentral:rRNA from 1 species